UACGAAGGGGGCUAGCGUUGCUCGGAAUCACUGGGCGUAAAGCGCACGUAGGCGGAUUGCUAAGUCAGGGGUGAAAUCCUGGAGCUCAACUCCAGAACUGCCUUUGAUACUGGCGACCUUGAGUCCGGGAGAGGUGAGUGGAACUGCGAGUGUAGAGGUGAAAUUCGUAGAUAUUCGCAAGAACACCAGUGGCGAAGGCGGCUCACUGGCCCGGUACUGACGCUGAGGCGCGAAAGCGUGGGGAGCGAACAGG
rnacentral:rRNA from 1 species